GAUGAACGCUGGCGGCGUGCCUAAUACAUGCAAGUCGAGCGAACAGACGAGGAGCUUGCUCCUCUGACGUUAGAGGCGGACGGGUGAGUAACACGUGGAUAACCUACCUAUAAGACUGGGAUAACUUCGGGAAACCGGAGCUAAUACCGGAUAAUAUAUUGAACAGCAUGGUUCAAUAGUGAAAGACGGUUUUGCUGUCACUUAUAGAUGGAUCCGCGCCGCAUUAGCUAGUUGGUAAGGUAACGGCUUACCAAGGCAACGAUGCGUAGCCGACCUGAGAGGGUGAUCGGCCACACUGGAACUGAGACACGGUCCAGACUCCUACGGGAGGCAGCAGUAGGGAAUCUUCCGCAAUGGGCGAAAGCCUGACGGAGCAACGCCGCGUGAGUGAUGAAGGUCUUCGGAUCGUAAAACUCUGUUAUUAGGGAAGAACAAAUGUGUAAGUAACUAUGCACGUCUUGACGGUACCUAAUCAGAAAGCCACGGCUAACUACGUG
rnacentral:rRNA from 1 species